UGCCGAAUAAACAGUGAGGAAAGAGGUCCGAAAGGGGAAGAGGAAAGACCCGCAACGUUGCUCUGGAUUGUCACACAGACUGAAAACUGGAGCAGAAGACAGAGUCGAUGAAUGUGAUCCACGAGGAGGUUCAACCUGCGACCCCACCCAUGGGAAAAACUCGUGAAGGGUUUCAUAGUCAGGGUUACACCUUUUUAAAGGUAAGAUUGUCGCUUCAUUUUCGACUGAAUAUAAACAGUGUUUGUUUUGACCCCCGGACACUCGUCUCUUCGUCGGUUUCUCACGGUAGUAAAAAUCCCACAUUCCCGUUGCUGAAAUGAGGAACCCAGAUGUCGUGUGCAAUGUGGA